rnacentral:lncRNA from 1 species
ACUGAUUCGAGGCAGGUUAUGGGGUUGGUACCAUCUGUCGAGGGUAGUAGUGAUGGUUUAAAGGAAGGGAAUGUAUGUCAGGCCUGUAGACCAGGCCACCUUCAAUCGGGUGGUUAAUAAAUAAUGGUCCUUAUUCUAAUGUGGUAAGUGAUAUGGUGAAAUGAGGACAAAGUGGUAAGGAUACAGAGGUCUGUGAAAGAGGGGAAAGUAUUUGUGCGGAAGGGGAACGACCAGAGGGAAAGGAUUGCAAGGAGGAAGUUCUGUGUCCAUUCAGUCCAUGAGUGAUGAGGGGCUGGGAGAGGGAGGGAUAGUAGAGGCUCUGGAUCCCAGAGCAGGACCUUACUGUUUCCAGAAUUUUUUCUGGGUAUUCACAUGAUGUGCUCUUGGUUGUAAAUUUUUUUUUAAUUGCAUUUAUUUUUGUGAAAUUUAUUCCUGGGUCAUAAGUUUUUGCUUCUGCAGUUUCCUCUGGGAUAUCUUUUUCUUCUGUGCAACCUCAUCUUCUGGCUUAGGAACAAUCUGCUCUUUUUCAGUACGUCGCAUCUUGGGGGCUUUGUUCACCUGGAUGUGCUCAAUGACCAGAGAAUCUACAUCUAAGCCCUUAAGUUCAGCAUUACUCUCUGCAUUUUUAAGCAUAUGCAAUAAAAAGUCAGCACUCUUUUUGGGCCACCGACCCUGUGUCCAGCCCCACUGUUUGGCCUGGGCACACCUACCAACUCCUCCACUGUAACGACAGAAUGGCACACAUUGCUUCUGUAGAGUGACAUCUUUCAGAUGCUCGGUGGCUUUUCAAAUAUGCAUACCCUUAAUGGCUUGGGCAGUUUUACGAGUGUUCUUAAAGUGAACAUGAACAGUUGAACCUCUUGAUUUGCAUGAUUUUGUGGGGUUUUCUGGGUCAAGUGAAUAGCAGACCAUUUUUAGAGGUCACCUCAGGCUGCUUCCCGGAAAAGCGGUUGUAAGAUUUAAAAUUGUAGAAAGUGCACUGAGUUUUCAUUCUUCCCCUCCUCCUCCUCACCCCUUUCCCAGCCUA